CCACACUGUUUUAGUAUCUCGACCCAUCUGUUCUCUAGAUGCUUCCCCACCGUUUCAGACUCUCGACCCACCUUUCCUCUGCCCGGCUCCUGCUUUCCCCGUCUCCCUCCUCACCUCAUCUCCCAAUUUCCCAACUUAUUUUCGAUUUACACUUAAAUCUCAUAUGAAUCUCCUUGGUCUCACCUAUCCUCUGAACCCAAAAAAGAUUUAGCCUUCCGACGACUCUGGCUGCCAUAAUCAAUCUUGGUUGUUGGCCGACAACCGGACUGCAACAUCGUCUUGUCUCACUCCAGCAUUAGCAUAUUCCAGCUUCAAACCCUCUCUGACCCUUUUUGCCAAAAUCGUUCUCACCGAUUUGUCAUCAGGGAAAAACACCAUCUUUGCCGAAAAAGUUUGAAUUUUUCUCGGGAAUUCUCACCCAUCCCUAAGAUUUUCUUUGUGGGUUUUGGUUCUCAGGUUGCGAAUUUUUCUUGGUGGCGAUGAUCGGUGUUCGUUGUUGUGUGGAUGAUCCCAGUGGAGCUUUGGUUUUCAGCUUUGGUGAUUUCUGCGUGGAUUUUUUGGGAUAUGGUUUGGGCUUCUGGGAAUUUUUUCAGUUGAGGAGAUUGUUGGAUACUGCUGCUAAGUGGAUCAAUGGAAGCGAUAGCCAGUGAUUGAGGGUAUCUUUUGGAGGACUUUGUUGUGGAUGGGAUUCAAACAGAACCUUUCAACUUGAACGAGAGGAGAGGGAAAAAGGUUAUUUUGAUGCAGAUGGAAAGUUUAUUAAUAUGCCAUUAAAAAUGAAGUCAAGGUCAUAAAAUAUUUUUUAUACUGAAGCUUUCAUCUCUCUGAUUAAAUUUAGUUGAAUUAAGUAAUUCAGUCAAUUACUUAAUUCAGUAAAAGAGACAACCAAAAAACGUGGAGGUGGAGUCAAAUGCAAAAUCAUAGAAUCAGAAAUUAAGAUUACCAUAUGUAUUUGAGAGCACAGCUGAUGCCUAGACACUAUUGAUCCCUCAAAAUUUUAGCCAUAAAGCAAAAGGUGGUGACUCACGUAGACAGCUGACUCAUUUUCAAUAGAAAGGAAUAGCCAAACUAACCCAGCUGGGAAAUAACGUUCACCAAUCACUGUCUUAGCACAUUUACUUAAGUGAAUACAUUGUUGUUUAUUAUGGCCGUCUUUCCAAGAUCAAGCCCCUUGCUCAGUUGUAUAAAGUUUGCAUCCUCAGUUGUGCCGUAUCGCAAGUUUGGAUUUUUGGGUGCCCCUUUCAUGUAGCAAAACGAAAAAUUUGAUGCAAAUCAGUUUGUCUCAAAUUGCAGCUUCCUCGGUUUCUCAAAUCUCAACGAUCAAUCUGCAGUAUCCCUCAAGCAGUUUCUCCCAAACUCUUACGAUUUGCAUUUUUGCUUAUCUCCCUACACUCUUAUCAGCAUUAUCACUGCUCUCUCAUAUGCUUUUCUUUGUUUUGCUCUAAUUUUUAAAUUUAUUUUUUUGUUAUUUAGUGUGAGAAAAUGGCUUCAAAAUUGGAAUUUCCAUUAUCUGGGCAAAGGAAAACAGAAAGAGAACACCAAUAGUGGUGACGAUGGAGAAUCCCUUCUUUGCUGUGGAAAUCGAAGGUCUAUGUGCAACAUUUAGCCCAGUUUAUAAGAGCAGGGGUCAAAAUGAAGAACCAAUGACAUGGGGAUUUGUUUAAUUUUAUCAAGUUUUGUACUGAGUAAAAUGGCAUUUUUAUCCCUGCUGUGCAAUAGAAAUCUCUUGAUUUCUUCAGAACCUGCACUCAGCUUCGCCAUCUCUCUUCGAUCUCUGCUUCAUGCUCUUCAAUCUUUGCUUCAUCAUCUCUUCCUCCGUGAUUUCUUCACCAGCAACUUUGCUCUAAAUCUUUCCAAUUGAAAAAACCUAGAUCAUCAUCAUCUAUUCCUCUUCACCACAGCUCAUCAGAAACAGUAAGCAAGUGAAAGCUAUAACCAAAGGUUUAUUUAGUUCUCCCAUAUGGUUUUCAUCUAUUGUAGGUAAACGAGAGCUACUGUGCUCUUUAUGCAAUAAAGUUCACCAUCAGCUCUAGAUACGAGCAUCAUGGCAAAGUUGAAGUAUGCAUAAAUGGCAAUAGUUUUGGCCUCAACUGGAAGUUGUAGCGAGUGUAACUAUAUUGGGACAUGUAAUGAGAAGAAAUGUUUAAGUAGCUGUGGGGAGAGUUGUAUUGAACAGAACAACUAUCCUCGGGGUAGCUGUAACACCUGAUGAGAAUUUUGAAGGUGAUCCAAUCGGAGGCCAGUUGUAGCUAAUGAUUCUCAAUUUCUCGAGUACAGCAGUAAAGGUCUUCUAUCUUCAUUUCUCAUUGACAUUUUUUUUCCUUGACAACAUAGUUCACAAGGCUUUUAGCCUGUUAUUAUUAUUGGAAUUAGAUUACAAUACUUGCAAUAAUUUUGGCAAGGAAUCAGUUGACAGUGUGGGGUUCAUGGAGUUUGGAUUCAGCAUUCUCUGAAAUUAGCCAAGGAAUGGAAAUUUUAUUGGUUUGAUUAGUAAUUUGGUAUGUUCUUUUUAUUUUUAUUUUUUUUUUGGGAAACUAAUUUGGUAUGUUCUUUAAAUUCUAUAAUUAUGAGAGAAACAGAGAUCAUCGUAUUAUAUAUUUUAUCAACAUUUAACAUUUAUGAUUGUGAACUA